rnacentral:rRNA from 1 species
UGCCAGCCGCCGCGGUAACACGGGGGGCGCAAGCGUUAUUCGGAAUUAUUGGGCGUAAAGGGCGCGCAGGCGGUCUUGUCCGUCAGGUGUGAAAGCUCGGGGCUCAACCCCGGAAGUGCACUUGAUACUGCAUGACUAGAGUGCGAUAGAGGGGGGUAGAAUUUCAGGUGUAGCGGUGAAAUGCGUAGAGAUCUGAAGGAAUACCAGUGGCGAAGGCGGCCCCCUGGAUUGACACUGACGCUGAGGUGCGAAAGCGUGGGGAGCAAACAGGAUUAGAUA